GUGGUCAUUUUGGCUACACAUAUACCAAAAUUUGAAAGAUACAGAGAAGACUAGCAUGGCCCCUGGACAAGGAUGACAUCCAGACUGCUGUGGCAAUCCAUAUUUUU
ensembl:snRNA U6 U6 spliceosomal RNA